GCCGAUAGUUGAGGUGGUAGGGCAUGAGACUCUUAAUCUCAGGCUCGUGAGUUUGAGCCCCACAUUGGGUG